rnacentral:rRNA from 1 species
UACGUAGGGGGCAAGCGUUGUCCGGAUUUAUUGGGCGUAAAGAGCGUGUAGGCGGCCAGGUAGGUCUGCUGUGAAAACUCGAGGCUUAACCUCGAGCUGUCGGCGGAAACCAUCUGGCUAGAGUCCGGAAGAGGAGAAUGGAAUUCCCGGUGUAGUGGUGAAAUGCGUAGAGAUCGGGAGGAACACCAGUGGCGAAGGCGGCUUGCUGGGCCGGACCUGACGCUGAGACGCGAAGGCGUGGGGAGCGAACGGG